GCGGACGUAGCUCAGUUGGUAGAGCGCAACCUUCCCAAGGUUGAUGUCGCGAGUUCGAGUCUCGUCGUCCGCUCCA
rnacentral:tRNA from 2 species